AUGGGGGUCUAUGGGGAUUUGCUCUCUUUUGCAACCAGCCUCAAGCGGCCACUCGAUGAACUGCAAUUUUUUGCACUUCCGCAUGGGCUUCAUCGCUCAGCCCCGGAGGUUGCCGCCAUAUAACUGUAGUUAACUUGGAACGUGAAGGCGUGAACUACAUCGCGGACAUAGAGGAAUCCAAGAUGGCUCAUGACUGCAGACGUGCAGCAGAGUAGGUGGAAACCAAUAUGCACCUGUUUACUGCCAGACCUGAGCUGUCUCUCUGCGUAUGGGGAAGGAGGAACAGGCUGAGGUUGUUCUGGAGUACGAAAAGGUCUCAUUGAGCCAAGAAAUGACCCUGGAUGAGUUUCAAACGCAAGAAGUUUUGGAGCCAUUCAAGUUUGAAAUUUUGUAAAGAAACUGUUGACAAACAAAAUGAUCAGGUCUAUUGUGAAUGCUACUCAAAUGAGUGGACAUUAAAGGACAAGAGAACAUU